rnacentral:tRNA from 1 species
CCUUUCUAAGGAUGAUCAAGAAUUGGAAAAUCUUUAAAAAGAAAUUUCCUUUUUGAUCUCAUUAGACAUAAAGGUUUAAACAAAGUCCGUUUAAACCGCACAUAUAUGGUACAAACUCUUUAUGAACGCCUCUCUGUAAGAGAAUCCUCUUUGUAAAAAAGAGCCCCCCUUUCUCUUGAGGUUUUAGCCUCGCUGUGACGGCCCUCUAUAAAGUUUCAUAUUAUGUGUUCAGUUAUUAAGCAGGCUAGCCGUCUUCGUUUCUCUUUCUUCAGAUGAUGAUCCCAAGCCUUCUGGCGAUUUCUUAUCAAGGGAAUUUGACUGAGAUCUCAAAAGUCCAUAUUUUUUAAAAAUAUGCGUGCUUUAAGUAAGCCGUUUUGAGGAAAAAGUGUUUUCCACUUGGUAAGAUUUAGUCCGGGGAAGGUUUUCCGGUUUAUCCCGGAGGGCUUGUAGCUCAGUUGGUUAGAGCGCGCGCUUGAUAAGCGUGAGGUCGGAGGUUCAAGUCCUCCCAGGCCCACCAGUUUCCAUUCUGAUGGAAAAGCGCCGAUAACAUUCUUAUGAAAAGCUUGCUUAUAAGCUUAUGUAUAAAAUAAGCCUGUUCAUAAAUAUACGCUUGUUAUUUUUGAGUCAUCAAAACAUGAAGCGGUUAAAACAUAUAAAGGAUCAUGCGAAAAGGGCUUGGUCCAAGUGACUAAAUCUGCAUGGUUUAGAAUUGCAUUAUGCAUCGUCCAAAAUUCAAUAUGUACUCCACAAUGAAAAUGCUCUUAAUUUUAUGUUUUUUUAAUGCGCUGCAUUGUUUUAGGGGGCCGUAGCUCAGCUGGGAGAGCACCUGCUUUGCAAGCAGGGGGUCGUCGGUUCGAUCCCGUCCGGCUCCACCAUUUGAUCAUCAUCGUUGUUAUGAGAACACUCUUUGUGAGAGGUUUAUAAACCUUUCGCUUGUUCUAUUGAAAUUGUGAAGAGAAGAUAUAUUCAGACAUGUUGUCUUUGAGAUAUUUUUUUCUUAAAAGCAAAAUUUGUUUUUAAGGAAGAAGUUUGAAAGAACACAAAGAAAACAUUGUGUCGCAAGGGAAUGCUCAAAGCCCUUGCUUAUGAUUGGAAGCUUAACCGCGCCAUUGAAUAUAUCUCGAGAAGCUGGUCUUUUCUGCUGAUAUUGC